AAAUUGAGAUGUGCCUCUGCUAAUUCGUAACAACUGCAUGAAUUGCUUUUACUUUCAAUUUCAGCUUUAUUGCACCAUCCCACUCGUGGAAAUGACUAGCUUCCUCAGCUCUCUCUCUUUUUCUCCUUUAUAAAGGAGGGACACAAAAGAAAAGUGGAAGGAGGAACGAGAGCAAGGGGGUAGUGAAAGGCAACUGAAAACUCAAAACUUGGACCUGUGGUGCUGAAGAGCAGGCUCUUCUAGGUCGGCAGUUGCCAUGGAAUCUGGACCCAAAAUGUUGGCCCCCAUUUGCCUGGUGGAAAACAACAAUGACAAGCUGUUGGUGAACCAGCAAGCUAUACAGAUUCUUGACAAGAUUUCUCAGCCAGUGGUGGUGGUGGCCAUUGUUGGACUGUACCGUACAGGCAAAUCCUACUUGAUGAACCGUCUGGCAGGAGAGAAUCAUGGCUUCCCUCUGGGCUCCACCGUGCAGUCUGAAACCAAGGGCAUCUGGAUGUGGUGCGUGCCCCACCCCUCCAAGCCAAACCACACCCUGGUCCUUCUGGACACCGAGGGUCUGGGCGAUGUAGAAAAGGUAAGACAGGGAGUCAUAGGCAGGUUCUUUUUAUUCCAGACAUGAUCUUUGUAAUUUAAUUGUUGUGAUAUAUUUGUGAAAACUAGAAAUCCAACUACAGUGAAUAAGGCAAACUUUGACCUGUUUGAGUCACACUUCCAGACAAGAUUAGAUAUCAUGGUAUAUUAGGUAAAACAUUCUUUUAUUUCUUGGCACAGUGGUGAAUGAUUUGAUUCAAUUUCAUAAAAUCUUGUUAAGCAGUUGAGUUCCAGGCCUUUGGGCUGAGUAGCAUAGACAUUGGUGAACAAAGUAAAGGUCCUGCCCACAAAGAGCCCUCCGGAUGUAGCGUGACUGGGAAAGAAGCAGGUUGCCGAGAGGGAGGAGAUUGGAAUGCAAUGCAUUCCCUGCCCUCCGUCAAUUCCACAGGGAGCUCUGUGGCUGGAAUGGCCCUUUUGAGUUACCAUGUUUUGGGACAAGGGUGCUAGGCCUUCAUCCCUGGUGCUGGUCAAUCACUGGAAGUCUGUCCUGGAAAACUUUCUCAUUAAGAGAGCUGACACCUGUGAUCUAGGCAGCACCUCACAGUUUUCACCACGUACAGUUGCGUAUAACAGUGCCUUGAUAAGAAAGAGAAGAGGUGUUGACUCCAAUCUCAGGAGAUGAGGAAAGGCCUCUCACCCACCUUCUGAGCUACCACCUGAAGAGUACAUUUGAGGGUUGGAAUUAAGAGAGUUCAGUUUAUAUUUCUCAUGAUGAAGCUCAUCAACUACCCACAGAGCAUUCUGGAAGGCUUUGAGACACUUCUGAUUGUGUUCGUCAUAUAAAAGUAUUUGUUCUUCCUACAAUAAACAUUAUAAGAUGAAUUUUUGGUGUUUAGCUUCUUAUGAAUGGGUGAAAUAAAUAAUUUCUCUCUUUUUUUGUCUUAGUUUGAGACUUAUUUGGGAAUAGUUUCUAAAUUCUAUACACAUACACUUUAUUUUUGCCCAAACAGGCAUUGGAAAUUCUGUUUAUUUUUUGGCUUUAGUGUUGUAUAAUUGACAAAUAAAAAUUGUAUAUAAUUAAGGUG